rfam:Pseudomonas putida strain TASWS0946 Contig155, whole genome shotgun sequence.
AUCAGAGGCCCUGGCAAGGGCCUUCGAGUUGCGCUCUGACCUACCCGACCUGAGCCGAUUCGUGUCUGUACAGCCCACAAGGCGGUUUGACGAGAUUGCGACUGGAACGAAGUUGUCCCGAGGGACGGAAGCGCAUCAAACGGUAGACGGCACACCCUGAUCGACGCAGCACGGCAACCACGAGCCAACCUGCCCGACAGCCACGCCAAGGACCUGCUCACUUC